rnacentral:lncRNA from 1 species
GGCUCAUUCUGUUUUAGAGCAUAAAAUCUGCCAAGGCAGUAAACACACCCGUAAAUCAGAAUUGUUAAAUGUGCCUGAGCGCAGCCCGCCAGCGUGGCUCGUUGCGCUUAUACAAGAGUGAAAGGGCUGCUUUGCAGCRCCGGGCAGAUUUAAGAGUGAUGGAGUGAGCUGCUGCUGCUGCAGGCCGCGAGGGCCGUGGUGGCCAGCAGCCGGGCACAUACCCAGUGUCCCUCCUCCAAAGGCAUGGCUGCGCUGUGGGACCCGGCAUCCUUAGGAUGUUGCCUGACUCUGAAGGAAGAAACUUUGGCUCCUUGCUACACUGCCCUUGGGGGCGUAUCUGUACUAGGAACUUCUGCAUCUGUGCCUGCCUCCCCAAACGCUGGUGAAACCAGAGAACAGCAUCCCGUACGCAGCCUUUACACAUCCCAUACAGCCUGUUUCUUCUUGGCUUCUCCAUUGCUUGAAAGGAGCUGGGGAGACUGUCUUUUUAUAGGGAUGAGGAUUUCUUAUCCCUCUGGAGAAACCAAAGGGUCUAGGUGCCCUGCCAGCUCCUGUGAUGCUGUGGAAGAACGCAGACCCUCCUGGGUGAGGAAGCAGCGAGGAGGCAGAGCUGCCGGGCUGCUGUGGAAAGACGAGUGAUGUUUCAGGAGCCAGGCUGGAGGGGAAGAGCAGAGCUUGCACUAGUUUCAGGUUCUCCAUAAUGAGGUAUUUAAAAAUAAUAAUAAUAAUACUAAUAAUAAUAAAAAACC